UGUCUUGGCAUUUUUUCACAGCCUAAUGAACACUAUGUCUCAUCGACACAAAUUUGCUGAAGGACGCCUCUUAAUCGUUGGAAACAACCAAUAGUUGUGCCUCUUCCGAAACAUUGCGCCUCCGCGCUGCAUUGAUCUAUAAAAUGCCUUCAAACCUCAAUUACACCCAUUCUCCAUCACUUCUUUCUGCCUUGCCUACUUAAGUCCCAAUUAUUCUUGUACAAUUGGAGAAACUUCACCAAAAAAUGUCAUAUUCACUUCUUUGAGACUUGAAUUCUUCUAACGAUGACUGGUUGGUUAGGGUACGAGACUGGAGGGUAUGGGAAUCUAUUAUUCACAAACGAAGCCCUAACAUGAUAAGGCUCGACUUGAUUCUUAUUGAUGAAAAGGCAUUGCAUCUUUCUUAUUGAUUCUUAUUGAUGAAAAGGGAACUUUGAUGCACGCGGUAAUCUGGAAAAAUCAAGUUAGCAAGUUUCGAGAUAAGUUGAGCGAGGGUUGUGUAGUUAUUAUCAAAAACUUCAACGUUUCUGAAAUAAUUGGUAAAUACAGAUCAGUUCAGUCGCACUUUAAAAUAACAUUCUUUCGUUUAACUGCCACCCAAAAAAUCCCGGAUGAUAUUGUUCACAUUCUUACAAAUGUGUUUCAGUUUAUACAACCCGAAAUGGUCCCCUUAAGGUCAACAACAAGAUCGUCUUAUAAGGUACAUUCAUUCUUGCCAUUUAUGUUACAGACUGUUCUUCAACGUAUACAACAAAUAGUCUCCCAACAUAACCUUUAGAUGUGGUUGUCUGCUUAUGCGGAAUCGGUGAUCUAGAGAGUGUGGGUUCAAAAUUGAAGAAGCGCGAUAUAGAUAUCCUUACUGAUCCAUAAUAUUCUUAUCUCAUUCACGUUAUAUUCAAAUGCUUUAUUCAUCCCGAAUAAGCCGCAUAGAAAAUCAUAUUGAUUUACAAAGUAAUAAAUUAUAAUACUAUUUUAGUGAGAACAGGACUAUCAAAGCAAGAAAAACUUUGUGGGAGGAUCAUCGCGAAGAAUAUUACCCCUACGUAUAUACCAACCACUUAGGACCAUAAAUUGUCAUCGUUACUGUUACAACCCUUAAAGAGUUCAGAGGUAACUACUUCUUCUCAACAUACUAGAACGUUUUAAUUGCCACAUAUAUAUGAUAUUUUGACAUUUAACUUUUGUUUUUUUCCAUAAUAGGUGAACUGACUUUUGCAACAAGUGUAGCAAGAAAAAUUUAUAUUAAUCUUAAAAUGGAUAACAUUACCUCAUUGCUUCAUAAGUUCUCAAAGAUGUCAGUUGAUGUACAAACUAUUGGGAAUAAAAUGGAAGUAAUAUUCCCAUUGCAGAAGCUAUGUUUGAAAAUCGGAUGACUAUUGCAGAGUUAGUACAUUGCGACUGGAGUUCCGACAUAUACGUAAGUUCUAUAAUAACCCUUUAUACUAUAAGGACAAGACAUUGUAUAAACAUGCUACUGUUAUAUGCGCGCGCGCGCGCGCGUGUGUAUAUAUAUAUAUAUAUGUAUAUCGGUAUUACAUUUCUUGUAACAUCUGCAACAAGAAAGUUGAGGCUUCAGAUGGUGUCUACACAUGCCAAAAGUGCAACAAACAAUGAGACUUACCACUGGUUAGAUAAGCAACCAAAUAAUAUUGCAGCCAUAACUUACAUUCAACGAAAUGCUAACGUUUUAUGAAUACACAUUAAGGUUAAGGAGACUGGUGGGCAAAUCACUUUCGUCCUGUUUAAUGGAGUUGCGAAAUAACUUCUUGCUAAUUUUUCCCACAAGUUGGUUAACUGAUUGUCCAUAAGUGAGACUCUUGUACCGUCCCAGAUUCUCACUCUUUGCGGGAGGGACUUUGUCUUCAAACUAAAAUUGAGCUAUUUCAAUUUGAAAGAGGGGCUGGAAAACUACACAAUUACAAAAGUUUAUGUGCCAGAUGAAGAAUUAGAACACUGCUUAAACAAAGAAAAAAAGGGAAAAGAGAAAGUGGAAGAUUCACCUGAGCAAAUAAACUGUAAUAUGGGAGGAUCAAACAUGGACGACUCAAAAGAAAUUCCUAUCGGAGGGGAGGCUUCCACUUAAAAAAAAAAGAGUUUAUUCGAGAAAGUUGAAGAAGAGAUAGAGAAAAGAGAAACUGGAAGAUUCACCUGAGAAAACACACUGUAAUGUGGGAGGAUCAAUCACAAACGACUCAAAAGAAAUUCCUAUUGAAAGGGAGGCUUCCACUUCAAACAAAAGAGUUUAUUCAAGAAAGUCGAAGAAGAGACGAAACUUAUUCAUAGACGACUGUAGACAUCAUAAAACCGGCAUAGUAGAGUGUUUACCUGUGUUAGGGACCUUAAUAUGAUUUUCUUUGAUCAAGUAGUGCAUUUUUUCUUAGUUGGGAAACUUUUCAUGUCCAACAAUGGCUAAUAGUAUAUCAUAUGUUGAUGAUGAUUGUUAUGGUAGGGGAUUCCGUUA